ACGCUAGCGGCGGGCUUAAUACAUGCAAGUCAAGGGGUAGCAAUACACCGGCGUACGGGUGCGUAACGCGUAUGGAACCUGCCCUUAUCUGGGGGAUAACUCGGGGAAACUCGAGCUAAUACCGCAUAAGAUAGUAGAAUGGCAUCAUUCAGCUAUUAAAGAUUUAUCGGAUAAGGAUGGCCAUGCGUAAGAUUAGAUAGUUGGCGAGGUAACGGCUCACCAAGUCUACGAUCUUUAGGGGCUCUGAGAGGAGAAUCCCCCACACUGGCACUGAGAUACGGGCCAGACUCCUACGGGAGGCAGCAGUAGGGAAUAUUGGGCAAUGGGCGGAAGCCUGACCCAGCCACGCCGCGUGCAGGAAGACGGCCCUCUGGGUUGUAAACUGCUUUUAACUGGGAAGAAAGCAGCUCAUGCGUGAGAAUUUGACGGUACCAGUUGAAUAAGCCACGGCUAACUACGUGCCAGCAGCCGCGGUAAUACGUAGGUGGCGAGCGUUAUCCGGAUUUAUUGGGUUUAAAGGGAGCGUAGGCGGCUGAUUAAGUCAGCGGUGAAAGGUAGCAGCUUAACUGUUUUACAUGCCGUUGAUACUGGUUAGCUUGAGUUGACAGAAGGCAGAUAGAAUUCCUGGUGUAGCGGUGAAAUGCUUAGAU
rnacentral:rRNA from 1 species